UUAUACUGUUUAUUCUUCGUUUUCUCGGCUUAAGCUUAUAAUUUUCUCUCUCCAAAAUCAAAAACCCAAAAAUUCUCUUAGUUUUUAAUCUCCCUAACCGAAACCCAACUUUGAAUCUGAAUGAUUUUUAUUCGACAAAAAAAAUCACCAAUAACAACCAGGUUUCUUCUCAUUAAAAACCCUAAAAAAAACCCGAAAAUAAUUUGAUUUCUCAGUCAAAAUCUUUAACCGAACCUGACUUCAGAUUGAUGCUCCGUAUGUUGUUUUCUGAAUUACCCCAUAAAAGGUUUUCGUAUUCAAAUCAUUUACAAAUUACGAUUUUCUAUCUAAUGAAGGAAAUCAGAAUUUAUCCAAUUGUAACGGUUGAAUUCCAUUAACCUGGCGUGGGUUUUGGUUGUUUGAAGGAUUCGAUGUUUGAGAAUCUAUCUGUAGCUCAAACUAAACUACUCUUAAGAGUUUCUCUCAGAUUUGACAGAAUAUGCUUUUCUCUGCUGACAAUUGGUUCCAUAUCAAAUGGAGUCUGGAUUCUUAACAAGGAUGUUUGAAAGAGGAAAGAGGAUUACCGACCAGUUUAUAUGGCUUUGCUUAGUGUCCCCCUGACAGGACAGGAGUGACUCAAGCAUUAGAUUUUGUCGCUGUUGGUAUGGGAGUUGUAACUGGAACAAGGGUGUUCUGCUAAACCAAUCUUUUGUCUUCAUGACAAAAUUGUUGUGUGAAACUUCUUCCGUAGUUGCAUUCGAUCCAUCGCUGGAUACAGGGCUCAUCCCUUGGUGUUGGUGUUGCACUUAGUUCAUUUUUAUGUGUCUAGGAACUCUAGGUGUUGGUGUUGUUACCUGUUAUUGGAAUUCACUGUAGUGGUGAAGUACCUCAAGCAUCCAGGGAAGUUUUCAUGCCUUGGCGGAAAGCUGCUCAAUUCCCAAGAGAUGUGCAGUUUGGGAGAAUGGCAGGUCUCAUAUUGAAGGGGUACAUUUUUUUAUUAGCAGCAGUUGUAUGGUGAAGAUUACCAUGUUGAGUUGCCUUUUUGAAGCUCUGGCCUAGUGCAAGUCGGGACUAAUGUUAGAGCCUCUAAUUGUUUUGAAAGAUCUCGAAACACUAAUGUUUUACGUUUUUUGUUCUCAGUGGCAGAAGUAAUACUCUAAACUAGCUAGCUGCAUUGGUUAUAAAUGCAUACCCUAUCAGCCACUUAGGACCUGCCAUUCUGCCUCUUUGUGCAGACAGUAGCGUUCGUAGCAUUCAACAAGGUUAUUACAAUCCAAUACUUCGUGUGGUUCUUCUGCUUGUUGCCUUUAAUACUUCCAUGGAGCAGUAUGAAACUGUAGUGGGAAGGGUUGUCAUUACAUUAUAUUGUGAGAUGUGUCAUCGUGCGUGUGCGUUUGAAUCACCUUGAAUACUUUAACAGGCAGUUCAGAUAUCGUCUAACGGUGUUCAUAAAGAACCCUAGGGCAGUAUAAUUCUCUUAAGAUCAACUGUGAAAUAUGUGGGCAUGACACUCUGACUAUAAACAAAACCAGGCUUUGCUAGUAACGAUUGCACUUUAAUUUUGUUAUGCAGGAGGUAUCUGUUAUAGAUGAGAAGCCAAAAGAGGAGAUGCUAAAACUGUAGCCGCCCAAAAUAUGGAAAUGAUCAAUCUAGUCGAUAAGGAGUUAUUUCUGUGUAUAUCGGAUGAUAAGCAUAUUUGGCCGAUCUAAACGUCGCUGGGUAUUUCUGUGUGUUUUACCGCAAGUUGGAAUUCACACGCGUGUACUUAACUGGCUUUUUUAACAGUGAGGCAUUUUUCCAUCUCUUUUGACGUUGGGGAAGUUCUCCAACAUGGCAUCCCGUAUAAGGACAUUUUUUCAAUUUUCCCAAUUUUAUUUUGUUUGGAAUUGGCAUUGCCUCCGUUUUGAUUGGUGUAUUUAAAAAAAGGAAAUAUUUACUUCUUCAUUAUAUAAUUUGGAGUACAUGUCACCUUUUAAACGGACAUACAAUAAGUACAAUUCAUCUUCGUCUUGUAGACCUGGAUGUAUUGAACAUCUUAUUCAGGAUGACAUGAACAGAUCU